rnacentral:tRNA from 6 species
AUUCCCCCCGCUAGCU